UCCUGAGUUAGAGAUCCUUCCCGGGGCAGCCUGGGAUUUCCUUGUCUUCUCUCAUGAUAAAUGCCUGUCAAAGCUUUAGCUCGGUGCCCUAUGUGACCAUCUGAUCACAGAAUACAGAGUUGUGCUGUUUUUGGAGUCCCUCGGGUGUGGCAGGAGUGACACCAACUCAAGUUAAGAUUCUACGUGCCCCAUGGAGCAUUGCUAAGCCUGGAGACAUGUCCCCAGCUCACGGGGGCUUUUAGGCUUCUUUUGCCCCUCGCUCCAAUCGCCAAAACGCACUGUGUCUCCAAGACCAAUGGGAAGAGGAAACCCGAAGUCGGACAGAUUAAAAUGACCUUAGAAGUGGGUUACCAUGCGGCUUAAAGGAGGUGCUGCACCUGUAAGGGCCCGGAGAGGACCAGACGAUGCCCAGAGAGGACCGAUGAUGCCCCGAGAGGACCGGACGAUGCCCAGAGAGGACCGGACGACGCCCAGAGAGGUGUUUUGCAAGAAAAUCCUGUGAGCUCUGAGCACGAAACAUUAAAAUUGACUGAUUGGGUGGCUUUAUUAAAAAAAUACUAUGUAUCGGCAAUAAAAAAUCUA